rnacentral:rRNA from 1 species
AUUGAACGCUGGCGGCAGGCUUAACACAUGCAAGUCGAGCGAGCGGCGGACGGGUGAGUAAUGUCUGGGAAACUGCCUGAUGGAGGGGGAUAACUACUGGAAACGGUAGCUAAUACCGCAUACCAUCAGAUGUGCCCAGAUGGGAUUAGCUAGGGGGUGGGGUAAUGGCUCACCUAGGCGACGAUCCCUAGCUGGUCUGAGAGGAUGACAAGCAACACUGGAACUGAGACACGGUCCAGACUCAUACGGUAGGCAGAAGGGGGGAAUAGGGCACAAUGGGCGCAAGCCUGAUGCAGCCAGGCCGCGGGUGUGAAGAAGGCCUUCGGUUUGUAAAGCACUUUCAGGGAGGAGGCGUUACCCGCAGAAGAAGCACCGGCUAACUCCGUGCCAGCAGCCGCGGUAAUAC